AGCUCCUCAGGAGUUGGUAGGUA
rnacentral:miRNA from 1 species